rnacentral:rRNA from 1 species
AUGGCUCAGGAUGAACGCUGGCGGCGUGCUUAACACAUGCAAGUCGAACGGAGCCAAGGAGUGCUUGCAUUCCUGAAGCUUAGUGGCGGACGGGUGAGUAACGCGUGGGGAAUCUGCCCCGUACCGGGGGAUAACACUUAGAAAUAGGUGCUAAUACCGCAUAAGCGCACGGCAUCGCAUGAUGCAGUGUGAAAAAACUCCGGUGGUACGGGAUGACCCCGCGUCUGAUUAGCCAGUUGGCAGGGUAACGGCCUACCAAAGCAACGAUCAGUAGCCGGCCUGAGAGGGUGAACGGCCACAUUGGGACUGAGACACGGCCCAAACUCCUACGGGAGGCAGCAGUGGGGAAUAUUGCACAAUGGGGGAAACCCUGAUGCAGCCGACGCCGCGUGAAGGAGGAAGUGCUUCGGCAUGUAAACUUCUAUCAGCAGGGAAGAAGAUGACGGUACCUGACUAAGAAGCCCCGGCUAACUACGUGCCAGCCGCUGC